GGUAAACCAAACACCCCCUUAAUCUUUUGUUGACCUUAUGUUGAACUUGCUGUUUUAGAGAUAUUGAUCAUUCUUUACUUCUUUCUGUCUCCUUUUUUAGUUAUUUACCUAUGGAGCAUUCUUUUCUACAAAUAGGUUAGUGGAUGUGAGAAUUGGAAAAAGAAAUUAUAUUGCUUGAUUGAAAAUAAAUAUAAUGAUAAAAAAUAAAAUUGCAAUAGAAAUUGAAAUGAAUAAUGCUUGAAAAUUAAAAAUGAAUGUUGAAGUUUUGGA
rnacentral:misc_RNA from 1 species